rnacentral:lncRNA from 1 species
ACUUUGGGAUAGCGGUCCAAGCUGAUUGGGAAAACAGCGAGUUCAUCUCCCAUAUUUCUCCCAAUGUUCGCCGCCUCUUCGAUUUCCUGGUCCAAUUCUGUACAUCCUUUUCCAACCUAUAUUAUUGGUUUUCAUUUUUGUUUUUGUUUUUAUUUUUUGGUUUUUCUGUUUGUCCUAGUUUGUUUCUAGUCUUUUGCUGGUUUGGGUAUGUCUCAAAAUCUUGUCUAUGUUGUUGACUUGCUUCAGUUGGUUUCAUGGUGGUUGCUGAUUUUGGUGAUGACCCAACUGAUAUUUGGGCCAAUUUCUCUAAGUUGCUGAUGCUUUAGUGAAUUUGCUGAUUUGGGCGUCUGUCAUUUUGAGAUUUGAGUGGAUAUUAGACUUAUAAUAUACCUCCCUUGAGGGUCCUAGACCAUUAAAGAUAUGUUUAAUAUAUUUUCAUUGCACAUUAGCCUGAAACUUAGCACCUUAGCCAAAAUUCCACCUUGUUGUGCCCAAAGAUUUGGUUCUAAUUUAUCUAUUUUAAAUGGGAGUGCACAUAUAUUUGGUUGAAUUUCGUGACCCGAAACAACGAAUGUAGGAUAGUUAAUUAUCAUCUUGUUCAAGCACCAAGCUUUCUCUUAACUGAGCUCUUCUUGCAGCCCUAGUUCGAAUCUUUCUAUAGGUGCAUAGUUGCAAUGACUACUUUGCCCAGCUUCAGCGCAAUCCGUUGUUCUGCAAUAAUUUAGUUUGCUGGAGUCCUUGCAUCUGGUUUCGAAUUUGAUUUUUCCUUUUAGGAUGGUGGUGGUUUGUUUUAACUUGAUCUACUUGUUGGACAAAUUGGAAAUUUCUCUUCCUUUUGGAAUGUAAUCAAUGCUACAACUCUUGGGCUAAUUUUUGUUUUUCUUGUUAUUGAAGAGGCUACAACGAAGAGCAAAUUGGCAUCACUGAAUGAGAAGCUUGACGUAUUGGAACGAAAGCUAGAACUUCUUGAAGUUCAAGUGGUGACUGCAUCAGCCAACCCUUCUCUUUUUGCACGUGAUGCUUAGCAGAUCAUGCCAUUCUUAUUAGAUUAUAAUAUACCGCUUUACUGUAAACAUCCUCUUGUCUAUAGUGUGGACGUGAACAUAUUUCUUGGUCUUGUAGCCCAGUUCAAAAGUAAUCUAUCCAUUAUUCUGCUUUAUGUUGAGUAAUAGUAGUAAUUUGUUCGUCAUGAGGUUAUUUUGCGGGUAUACACUUCAAACAGAGC